CUAAUUGAUGUGGAUAGUCUCCACUGAGGGCUUUGUUUUCAAUGCUAUUUCAUUCCUUCUUAAAAUGUAUUAUUCAUUUGUAAACUGCUGGUUUCUUUGGGACAUUGUCCCCAUAAACUUUUCAUAAAGUGUGAACGAUUUCAUCAUUCCUCCACCCAAGAUUCAUCAUAAAUUUGAUGUUUGUUCUUGCUGCAAUAUUAGUAGAAUUCCUGUUGCUCUGAUAGGGCUCAAUUGAAAAUGAUGUCUUAUCCUUUUUAGUGACUCAAACUAGAUACCGUUCUGACAUGUUAUAAAAAGUUAGUAUGAGUUUAUUUUGGUGCAAAAAAAUUGAGCUCCAUUUAUAGUUUUUAAAAUAAUAUGCAUUUUCCAUAAACUUUUUGAAGACUCAGUUUUACCUUUAUGUGACACUGGCUAUAAUUUGUUGCAAUUGGUUUCUUACUUGCCUGUCUCUCUGGCUACAUUGUAAAUUCCUUAAAGGCAUGCUCCAUGUAGGUCUAGCUCAUCACUGUAUCCCCUGAGAUUAGCACAAUGCCUGGCACAUAACAGGAGUUCAAUAAUCAUUUCUUGAAUAUUUAAAUAAUGUUAUAUAAAAACAUCAAAGAUUGUAAAUUACCCCAUUCUCAAAGUAAGACCCCCAAAAAUUCAUGCUCUUUUUUUUCAUAGAUCACUAAGUGAGAAGGCAAACUGAAGACGGAGCUUUGCUUUAUUCAAGACAUUGGGAACCAAAAGAAAGUAAAAGGCAGAUUUUCCUCCAUCUCUUUUUCAGAAAUUCUGAUGCCCUAUUUAUUAACUGGGAUGCUUGUACUCCUAGGGAAGCGAUAAUAUGGUGAGGAGACAAUCAUAGAUGAGGUGGGAGGGCUUCUGGAGCCCGUUUCUAAAUGCUUUGUGCCUGCAGAAAAAGGAGAGCAUUGAGAACUUUUUUCUAAAUGGAACAAAGGGUGUGACUGGCACACCAUUUAGCCUCGUUUACCAACUCUUCAAACACUAAAAUUCUUGCCUGGCAGGAGAUAGGUUCUCUAGAAGCUUAGGAACCUUUGAAAGCAGGGAUUGAGGACAAUGUCUGGACUAACGUUGGCCAUUAUAAAACUUGUCUUCCACGUGACACAUCUAUCAAAACCAAGCAUUGUCUGUCUUCAGUAGAAGAUGCAUUGUUGGAGGUGACAUGGGUUCGCAGUGCCAGCAUAAGCAUUUUUACCUAAACAGCUUAUCUCAUGCUCUUUUCCGUACUCACUGUGGUUUAAUUUCCUCUGUAUCAAUCUCUUCAUCCAUAAGAUGGAGAGUUUGGCUGAUAGCAACUCCAGUCAUUAAAUAGAGAUGAAGUUCUACAUGAGACCUUCUAUUAUUCUCUUACCUCUUUUCCAUUUUCCUUUGAAUAACUUGUCACGGUUUGUGUUUAUAAGCUUGUUUGCUUUACUUGUUUACUCUCUGCUCCAUUCCGCAUUUUAGCCCCUUCCUCUCCUCGUCCCCCACCUUCAUCUCCACCCACCAUUGUAAGGUCCAUGAGGGCAGGGACUGUGUCUAUUUUGAUCUUCUAUCCCCAGAGCCUAGCAUGAUGCCUGGCACAUAGUAGAGGCUCAAUAAAUGCUUGUUGGAAAAGUGGCUGGUUGAAUGAACACCAUAAUGAGGAAAGUCAUGCAGUGGCUCCCUGGCUUUUUGCAUACAUUACUGAGGCUCUCCAGAGAGUCUUGCUGGGGUUACUGAUUUAUUGUAACAGAGGAACAAGAAGAAUAAGAAGGCCUCUUAACAGAUGUCACGUAGGACACGAACAUUGCUCUGAUAGGCCAGCUGUCAUUCCACUGAUUUUAUGUCAGUUGCUCUCUCUUUUGUGUUGUGUCACACAUCAGCCCCAACUAAAAGGAAAGGCUACAGGCUGGGAUUUGAAAGAUAAUUUAAUGAAGGGAUUAUUUAUAGAGGUGUGGGCAAGAGCAGAAGAACCAGAUGGGUUGCUGAAGCACGCGGGGACUAGCAAUAGUGAGAAGCUGUUGUUACUCUUGGGCCUGACAGGAAAUGCUGGAGCCUGGGAGAAUGGAGGUGUGGACAGGGCCAUGGAUGGGAGCCAUAGUUAAAGAGGGCUGCCAUCACCAUUGGAAGCGCAUUGUCAGGCAAAGAGGGAAUAGGAAGAAAUACUGUAAACUCUCCUCCUGCUCUUUCAUCUCCUGCAUGGUCUCCAAUUGGCACUGCCCAAUGGGAAAAGGGAUCUCAGGUGAUACAGGUAUAGGGCAUAGAGGUCAGCCUUCUGGGGCACUGGAAGGCAGGAGAAAAGCCAGCAUGUGCCAUUACUAUUAGUGAUUUUCUCUUUGCAGAGAGAGGCACUUGUGAUCAAGUUCAUGCUGCUCACACAUACUCCAGUCGAGCAGGCACCUGCUGUUCCUUGACUUCAGUUUACAGCAUCUCUCUGUUUUCUUGCUUCUCUGCCACUCUCCUUUCUACUGUUCUUUAUAGGUCUUGCAUUCAAACUCUUCCAGAGAAAAUCUGAUGGUGUCACCCUCUGAUAUUGGACAGGGUACACAUAAGCAGCCUGUGAAAACUACCUUUAGGUGGGGCACCUGUCUUUGGUCCAGUUAGCUACAAAGCAGGCUGGACUUGCCCGUGACAAAGACUCUCUCAAAAAGGGUGAUAGGAGACGAACUCCUCAGAGGAAACAGUCUGAUUGGAAGCCACCUUGCAUGGCUUGUCUGGUACAUGGUCAUCCUCACUUCCACUCCAGUGGUGACCAUCCUCCCAUAUGAAGGAUAAUAAUAUCAAUACUAGGCUGCUGGAAGGGACUAGCUAAUGCUUACUAUUAGAGUAAGCAGGACAAGUUGCCCCUGUUUUUUUCUGUUUUUUUUUGUUUGUUUGUUUGUUUUUUGUUUUUUGUUUUGUUUUUUUGAGACACAGACUCCCUCUGUUGCCCAGGCUGGAGUGCAGCGGUGUGAUCUCGGCUCACUGCAACCUCCGCCUCCCUAGUUCAAGUGAUUCUCCUGCCUCAGCCUCCCGAGUAACUGAGACUACAGGAGCCCGCCACCAUGCCUGGCUAAUUUUUUUGUAUUUUUAGUAGAGACGGGGUUUCAUCAUGUUAGCCAGGAUGGUCUCGAUCUCCUGACCUUGCGAUCCGCCCGCCUCGGCCUCCCAAAGUGCUGGGAUUACAGGCGUGAGCUACGGCGCCCAGCCGACAAGUUGCCCCUGUUAAUUAGAUUCACCAAAUGUGCCCAGCACUGGUGCGUCUUCUUAACGUGAUGCCUCUUCAGCUCUCUCCCCUGCUCCAGGAGUGACUGGGAUAUCUGUCAUGCCCCCAGAUAUUGUGUUCAGGGUCUGGUUCAUGAGCUGGUUUUCUUCUGCUUCUAAUCACAAUAGCCAUAGUCAUUUGUAUUCAUAGAAAGUAAAUGCCUCUGUCAAUGAGGUUCCUGAUAAGAGGAACGGGGAAUAAUGCCUUUUUAGUCCUAAUCAGCCCUGUAAAACCUCCUGCAAAUAGGAAAGGAUUGUUUUCUGGCAUUUUAGAUUAUGCUAAAAGUUGAGUUUUAAAAAAUGAUAGCAACUGGUUGUUGGUAAAGUUCUAGGAUGGCAGCCUUGGUGGGUGGCAGGGAUGCUUUUCUCUUCGAGUGCCUGUUCUCCCUGGAUGGGGAGUCUCUUUUUUGCCACCUGCUUCAAGAGCAGUGAGUGCGGCAACCCCAGAGUACUUACUGUGCCAUUGCAAACCAUUUCUCAAUGCCAGAACCCCCCAACAAUGUUUGGUUCUCUGUACACACUCUUUGCUUCCCGCUCCAGAACACACUUCCCCUUUGCCUUCAUCUUGCAAAAUUCUCAUCUUUCCAGUCCCAGCUCAAAUGCCCCUUCUCAUGAGGUGGUGCUUAGGGAAGGAGGCUCUGCAGUCAGCCACUUGCAUGUCAUAUCUAGUCCACCACUCAUCAGCUGGCUCUUAACUUCUUCAUCUUUAAAUAUGAGAUGGUAAUUGGAUGAAGCUGUAUGUCACAGUGGGUAAGCAUGUGAAUGUUAGAGCCAGAUUGUUAAGUUUCAAAUGCUGGCUCAACCACCUACUUGCUAUGUGACCUUGGGAAAGCUAAUGAACCUCUCAAUGCCUCAGUUUCUCCAUUUAUAAAAUGGGGGUAGUAAGAUGUAUACAAAUUUGUUGUGAGAAUUAAAUAAGUUAAUGAAUGUUAUACUUUAUUAUUCUCUAUCUCACUGAGUUGUAAGAAUUAGUUAGGUAGAACACGUAAUCAUCUGGGAUUAUGCUUGCCCCAAACUCAGCUCUUCCUAUGUAAUUGGGGUAGUUCUUAUGUUCUGUUGCAUUUUAUUUGUUAUUGCCCAACAUGCCAGAGAGGGGUUGUGCCUCCUCUGUGUUCUCCUAGUAUAUUGAUUAUACCUCUAAUAGUAUUUUUCAUACUGAAUUAUCAUUGUUUGGAUUCUGUUUUCUCUAUUGGACUGUGAUCUCUUCACAGGCAAGAAUAGAUCAUUAGUAAAUAUUUGAUAUUCAUUAAAAUGAAAAGUUGCCAUAGCACAGAAAGGUUUUUGGCCUCAAGAUUGGUGUUGAAUAACUUGUCUGUGAAGUUCUUGGUGCAGCGAGAGGCCAGCAGCAGACGGGUUAAGACUCUUCCAGUGCAUCUGCCUCUCCUCAUUGUCUCAUAUGGGUUACCAAGUGCAGUCAGAACAUGAGUUCUAGUUCCGAGAAUGGGUGUCACCUAUUCUCUAGACAAGCUAUAUACAGUGUUGGAAAUGAAUGAUGUUAAGUGAGACUUGGAUUCUCUCCUUUUCACUUCACUUUAAAUAAAGUGUUUGCUUGGUUUCAAAGUAGGUUUCAUACCCUUGACUCCAAAUGGAAUUCUACCACCAUGAAGAACUGUUUCCUCUGAGAAAAAGAUGAGUCAUUCAGGUGAUGGCUAACCAAAAUCCUGGGGAAAAAAGAAAAAGAAAAGAAAUCAUAAUUUACCACUUACUGGUUUUGGUUUUCCUUAUGCAAUCAGACAUAUACCUUUUUCUAAUUUGAAGCCAUUUGGCUUGUGCUUGUGAGAUAUUAAUGACUGUAAAAUAGCUGAUAUCAAACAAUCUUAUUUUCGAAAUUGCUGUAGUUAAGACUGAUGGUGCUUUUAGUUAAUACCCCAUGUCAGCCUGUCAUCCCUACUCCCCCAUAAACAUUUUUGCAGGUGCCUACAUAUGACAAAUGUACCACAAAAUACCCAAUAUGAGUCCUUGUUUGUCAUAUUAGUUGGAAAGAUGCACAGAAGUUAUUUUUGGAAUCUUGUUCAUAAGUUUGUUAUGCAUGAGAAGAAUCAUAAACACUAGUUUAUAUACAUAUAGUGAAUGAAUGAAUGUUAUAUUAGAUUUCUGAUUCAAAGUAGUCUGUGUCAGGGGUCCCGGGCUGGUACUGGUACUGGUUCAUGGCCUGUUAGGAACCAGGUUGCCCAGGAAGAGGUGAGCAGCAGGUGAACCAGCAUUACCACCUGAGCUCUGCCUCCUGUCAGAUCCGCAGUGGCCUUGGAUUCUCAUAGGAGCGUGAGCUCUAUUGUGAACUUGCAUGCGAGGGAUCUAGGUUGAAUGCUCCUUAUGAGAAUCUAAUGCUUGAUGAUCUGAUUAUCUGAGGUGGAACAGUUUCAUCCCGAAACCAUGUCCUCCCACCCUGGUCCAUGGAAAAAUUGUCUUCCAGGAAACAAGUGCCUGGUGUCAUAAAGGUUGGGGACCACUGGUCUAUGAUAGAGAAACAUAGACUACUUUUGUUGUUUAAAAUGUCUUAUAGCCUAGACUGCAGAGGGAAAUUUAUCUGAUGAAAUGUCUCCAUUACAUUUGUUAUUAUUUCAGGUUAGAUUAAAAUCUUAGCUGUGUU
rnacentral:lncRNA from 1 species